AAUUUAGCAAAAUCAUGGAACAAAUCCAAAGAAAACUAGCUGAGUACACUGCUUCCUUGUACAAUGAGAAAAUUCUGGAUGAACAGUUUAUACAACUUCAGCAACUGCAAGAUGAGAGCAAUCCUGAUUUUGUGGUGGAAGUUGUAUCCCUUUUCUUUGAAGAUUCUGAAAGGCUUCUUAAUGAACUUGCAAAAGCUCUCAAUCAGUCUAAUGUAGACUUCAAGAAACUGGAUGCUCAUGUUCAUCAGCUGAAAGGUAGCAGCUCUAGCAUUGGGGCACAAAGAGUUCAAAGAGUGUGCAUUUCCUUCCGUAAUUAUUGUGAUGAACGCAAUGUUGAAGGGUGCUUAAAAUGUUUGCAACAAGUGAAAAUUGAGUACACCCUUGUCAAGAACAAGCUUGAAACUUUAUUUAAGCUGGAGAAACAAUUCGUGGAUGCCGGAGGAUCAUUUCCAGUGGUGUGAAUAUUGAUUGAUGAGAUAUAUGGAAUUUAAUUAUGUUUAAUUAAUGGCAACUUUAAUUAGAAGUUAUUUGGAUAUGUUAAUUUAGAUUGUGUUCAUGAUAUUGGCUUCAAAUGUAUAAGCAAUGAAAGUGAAGAUGAGAAG
rnacentral:misc_RNA from 1 species